rnacentral:lncRNA from 1 species
ACACACACCGGCGUACUGGAACCUCUCUCGCGAUCCCGCACCCAGCUUGAAUUCAGCAAGAAUCGAAAACAGGUGUGCCCCCGUGGGGCGGUUCGAAGAUGGCCGAAUAGGAACAGCUCCAGUCUGCAGCUCCCAGCUUGAGCGACACAGAAGACGGGUGAUUCCUGCAUUUCCAACUGAGGUACUGGGUUCAUCUCACUGGGGCUUGUCAGACAGUGGGGGCAGGACAAUGGGUGCAGCCCACCGAGGGUGAGCCAAAGCAGGGCAAGGCAUCACCUCACCCGGGAAGUGCAAGGGGUCAGGGAAUUCCCUUUCCCAGCCAAGGGAAGCAGUGACGGAAAGCACCAGGAAAAUCAGGUCACUCCCACCCUAAUAUGCGCUUUUCCAAUGGUCUUAGCAAAUGGCACAUCAGGAGAUUAUAUCCCACGCCUGGCUCCCAGGGUCCCACGCCCAUGGAGCCUCGCUCAUUGCUAGCACACCAGUCUGAGAUCAAACUGCAAGGCGGCAGCGAGGCUGGGGGAGGGGCGCUUGCCAUUGCUGAGGCUUCAGUAGGUAAACAAAGCGGCCCAGAAGCUGGAACUGGGUGGAGCCCACAGCAGCUCAAGGAGGCCUGCCUGCCUUUGUAGACUCCACCUCUGGGGGCAGGGCAUAGCCAAACAAAAGGCAGCAGAAACCUCUGCAGACUUAAAUGUCCCUGUCUGACAGCUUUGAAGUGAGUAGUGGCUCUCCCAGCACGGAGUUUGAGAUCUGAGAAUGGACAGACUGCCUCCUCAAGUGGGUCCCUGACCCCCGAGUAGCCUAACUGGGAGGCACCCUCCAGUAGGGGCAGACUGACACCUCACACAGCCGGGUACACCUCUGAGACAAAGCUUCCAGAGGAACGAUCAGGCAGCAACAUUUGCUGUUCAGCAAUAUUCACUGUUCUCCAGCCUCCUCUGCUGAUACCCAGGCAAACAGGGUUUGGAGUGAACCUCCAGCAAACUCCAACAGACCUGCAGCUAACUGUCCUGACUGUUAGAAGGAAAACUAACAAACAGAAAGGACAUCCACACCAAAACGCCAUCUGUACGUCACCAUCAUCAAAGACCAAAGGUAGAUAGAACCACAAAGAUGGGGAAAAAACAGAGCAGAAAAGCUGAAAAUUCUAAAACUCGGAGCACCUCUCCCCCUCCAAAGGAAUGCAGCUCCUCACCAGCAAUGGAACAAAGCUGGAUGGAGAAUGAGUUUGACGAGUUGAGAGAAGAAGGCUUCAGAUGAUCAAACUUCUCCAAGCUAAAGGAGGAAUUUCGAACCCAUCGCAAAGAAGCUAAAAACCUUGAGAAAAGAUUAGACAAAUGGCUAACUAGAAUAACCAGUGUAGAGAAGUCCUUAAAUGACCUGAUGGAGCUGAAAACGAUGGCACAAGAACUACAUGAUGAAUGCACAAGCUUCAAUAGCUGAUUCCAUCAACUGGAAGAAAGGGUAUCAGUGAUUGAAGAUCAAAUUAAUGAAAUGAAGUGAGAAGUUUAGAGUAAAAAGAAAUGAACAAAGCCUCCAAGAAACAUGGGACUAUGUGAAAAGACCAAAUCUACAUCUGAUUGGUGUACCUGAAAGUGACGGGGAGAAUGGAACCAACUUGGAAAACACUCUGCAGGAUAUUACCCAUGAGAACUUCUCCAACCUAGCAAGGCAGGCCAAUAUUCAAAUUCAGGAAAUACAGAGAAUGCCACAAAGAUACUCUUCGAGAAGAGCAACUCCAAGACACAUAAUUGUAAGAUUCACCAAAGUUGAAAUGAAGGGGAAAAUGUUAAGGGCAGCCAGAAAGAAAGGUUGGGUUACCCACAAAGGGAAGCCCAUCAGACUAACAGCAGAUUGCUCGGCAGAAACUCUACAAGCCAGAAGAGAGUGGAAGCUAAUAUUCAACAUUCUUAAAGAAAAGAAUUUUUGACGCAGAAUUUCAAAUCCAGGCAAACUAAGCUUCACAAGUGAAGGAGAAAUACAAUCCUUUACAGACAAGCAAAUGCUGAGAGAUUUUGUCACCACCAGGCCUGCCCUAAAAGAGCUCCUGAAGGAAGCACUAAACAUGGAAAGAAACAACUGGUAACAGCCACUGCAAAAACAUGCCAAAUUCUAAAGACCAUCGAUGGCUAGGAAGAAACUGCAUCAACUAACAAGCAAAAUAACCGGCUAACAUCAUAAUGACAGGAUCAAUUUCACACAUAACAAUAUUAACCUUAAAUGUAAAUGGACUAAAUGCUCCAAUUAAAAGACACAGACUGGCAAAUUAGAUAAAGAGUCAAGACCCAUCAGCGUGCUGUAUUCAGGAGACCCAUCUCACAUGCAGAGACACACAUAGGCUCAAAAUAAAGAGAUGGAGGAAGAUCUACCAAGCAAAAGGAAAACAAAGAAAAGGAGGGGUUACAAUCCUAUGCUCUGAUAAAACAGACUUUAAACCAACAAAGAUCAAAAGAGACAAAGAAGGCCAUUACAUAAUGGUAAAGGAAUCAAUUCAACAAGAAGAGCUAACUAUCCUAAACAUAUAUGCACCCAAUACAGGAGCACCCAGAUUCAUAAAGCAAGCCCUUAGAGACCUACAAAGAGACUUAGACUCCCACACAAUAAUAAUGGGAGACUUUAAAACCCCACUGUCAACAUUAGACAGAUAAACGAGACAGAAAGUUAACAAGGAUAUCCAGGAAUUGGACUCAGCUCUGCACCAAGCAGACCUAAUAGACAUCUACAGAACUCUCCACCCCAAAUCAACAGAAUAUACAUUAUUCUCAGCACCACAUUGCACUUAUUCCAAAAUUGACCACACAGUUGGAAGUAAAGCACUCCUCAGCAAAUGUAAAAGAACAGAAAUCACAACAAACUGUCCCUCAGACCAUAGUGCAAUCAAACUAGAACUCAGGAUUAAGAAACUCACUCAAAACUGCUCAACUACAUGGAAACUGAACAACCUGCUCCUGAAUGACUACUGGGUAAAUAAUGAAAUGAAGGCAGAAAUAAACAUGUUCUUUGAAACCAAUGAGAACAAAGACACAACAUAUCAGAAUCUCUGGGACACAUUUAAAGCAGUGUGUACAGGGAAAUUUAUAGCACUAAAUGCUCACAAGAGAAAGCAGUAAAGACCUAAACUUGACACCCUAACAUCACAGUUAAAAGAACUAGAGAAGCAAGAGCAAACACAUUCAAAAGCUAGCAGAAGGCAACAAAUAACUAAGAUCAGAGCAGAACUGAAGAAGAUAGAGACACAAAAAACCCUUCAAAAAAUCAAUGAAUCCAGAAGCUGGUUUUUUGAAAAGAUCAACAAUAUUGAUAGACUGCUAGCAAGACUAAUAAAGAAGAAAAGGGAGAAGAAUCAAAUAGAUGCAAUAAAAAAUGAUAAAGGGGAUAUCACCACCAAUCCCACAGAAAUGCAAACUACCAUCAGAGAAUAUUAUAAACACCUCUAUGCCAAUAAACUAGAAAAUCUAGAAGAAAUGGAUAAAUUCCUGGACACAUACACCCUCCCAAGACUAAACCAAGAAGAAGUUGAAUCCCUGAAUAGACCAAUAACAGGCUCUGAAAUUGAGGCAAUAAUUAAUAGCCUACCAACCAAAAAAAAGUCCAGGACCAGAUGGAUUCACAGCCGAAUUCUACCAGAGGUACAAGGAGGAGCUGGUACCAUUCCUUCUGAAACUCUUCCAAUCAAUAGAAAAAGAGGGAAUCCUCCCUAACUCAUUUUAUGAGACCAGCAUCAUCCUGAUACCAAAGCCGGGCAGAGACACAACCAAAAAAGAGAAUUUUACACCAAUAUCCUUGAUAAACAUUGAUGCAAAAAUCCUCAAUAAAAUACUGCCAAACUGAAUCCAGCAGCACAUCAAAAAGCUUAUCCACCGUGAUCAAGUGGGCUUCAUCGCUGGGAUGCAAGGCUGGUUUAACAUACGCAAAUCAAUAAACGUAAUCCAGCAUAUAAACAGAACCAAAGACAAAAACCACAUGAUUAUCUCAAUAGAUGCAGAAAAGGCUUUUGACAAAAUUCAACACCCUUCAUGCUAAAAACCGUCAAUAAAUUAGGUGUUGAUGGGAUGUAUCUCAAAAUAAUAAGAGCUAUUUAUGACAGACCCACAGCCAAUAUAACACUGAAUGGACAAAAACUGGAAGCAUUCCCUUUGAAAACUGGCACAAGACAGGGAUGCCCUCUCUCACCACUCCUAUUCAAAAUAGUGUUGGAAGUUCUGGCCAGGGCAAUCAGGCAAGAGAAAGAAAUAGAGGGAGUUCAAUCAGGAAAAGAGGAAGUCAAAUUGUCCCUGUUUGCAGAUGACAUGAUUGUAUAUUUAGAAAACCCCAUCAUCUCAGCCCAAAAUCUCCUUAAGCUGAUAAGCAACUUCAGCAAAGUCUCAGGAUACAAACUCAAUGUGCAAAAAUCACAAGCAUUCUUAUACACCAAUAACAGACAGAGAGCCAAAUCAUGAGUGAACUCCCAUUUACUAUUGCUUUAAAGAGAAUAAAAUACCUAGGAAUCAAACUUACAAGGGAUGUGAAGGACCUCUUCAAGGAGAACUACAAACCACUGCUCUACAAAAUAAAAGAGGACACAAACAAAUGGAAGAACAUUCCAUGCUCAUGGGUAGGAAGAACCAAUAUCCUGAAAAAGGCCAUACUGCCCAACGUAAUUUAUAGAUUCAAUGCCAUCCCCAUCAAGCUACCAAUGACUUUCUUCACAGAAUUGGAAAAAACUACUUUAAAGUUCAUAUGGAACCAAAAAAGGGCCUGCAUUGCCAAGACAAUCCUAAGCCAAAAGAACAAAGCUGGAGGCAUCACGCUACCUGACUUCAAACUAUACUACAAGGCUACAGUAACCAAAACAGCAUGGUACUGGUACCAAAACAGAUAUAUAGAUCUUGGAACAGAACAGAGCCCUCAGAAAUAAUACCACACAUCUACAACCACUGAUCUUUGACAAACUGGACAAAAACAAGCAAUGGGGAAAGGAUUCCCUAUUUAAUAAAUGGUGCUGGGAAAACUGGCUAGCCAUAUGCAGAAAGCUGAAACUGGAUCCCUUCCUUACAUCUUCUACAAAAAUUAAGUCACGAUGGAUUAAAGACUUAUAUGUUAGACUUAAAACCAUAAAAACCCUAGAAGAAAACCUAGGCAAUACCAUUCAGGACAUAGGCAUGGGCAAGGACUUCAUGUCUAAAACACCAAAAGCAAUGGCAACAAAAGCCAAAAUUGACAAACAGGAUCUAAAUAAACUAAAGAGCUUCUGCACAGCAAAAGAAACUACCAUCAGAGUGAACAGGCAACCUACAGAAUGGGAGAAAAUUUUUGCAAUCUACUCAUCUUACAAAGGGCUAAUAUCCAGAAUCUACAAUGAACUCAAACAGACACACAAGGAAAAAACAAACAACCCCAUCAAAAAGUGGGUGAAGGAUAUGAACAGACACUUCUCAAAAGAAGACAUUUAUGCAGCCAACAGACACAUGAAAAAAUGCUCAUCAUCUCUGGCCAUCAGAGAAAUGCAAAUCAAAACCACAAUGAGAUACCAUCUCACACCAGUUAGAAUAGCAAUCAUUAAAAAGUCAGGAAACAACAGGUGCUGGAGAGGAUGUGGAGAAAUAGGAAUGCUUUUACACUGCUGGUGGGACUAUAAACUAGUUCAACCAUUGUGGAAGUCGGUGUGGCCAUUCCUCAGGGAUCUAGAACUAGAAAUACCAUUUGACCCAGCCAUCCCAUUACUGGGUAUAUACCCAAAGGAUUAUAAAUCAUGCUGCUAUAAAGACACAUGCACACAUAUGUUUAUUGCGGCCCUAUUCACAAUAACAAAGACUUGGAACCAACCCAAAUGUCCAUCAAUGAUAGACUGGAUUAAGAAAAUGUAGCACAUAUACACCAUGGAAUACCAGGCAGCCAUAAAAAAGGAUGAGUUCAUGUCCUUUAUAGGGACAUGGAUGAAGCUGGAAAACAUCAUUCUCAGCAAGCUAUCGCAAGGAUAAAAAACCAAACACCUCAUGUUCUCACCCAUAGGUGGGAAUUAAACAAUGAGAACACUUGGACACAGGAAGGGGAACAUCACACACUGGGGCCUGUCAUGGGGUGGGGGGAGGGGGGAGUGAUAGCAUUAGGAGAUAUACCUAUGUAAAUGACGAGUUAAUGGGUCAGCACACCAACAUAGCACAUGUAUACACAUGUAACAAACCUGCACAUUGUGCACAUGUACCCUAGAACUUAAAGUAUAAUAAAAAAUAUAUAUAUAGGCAAAGAAUAAGAUAGAAAAAAAAAUAAUAGUAUUAUUUGUUCUCUCUGCUUGUUAGAGGGCAGGGGAACCUGUAUCUUUUGUUUCAUGGGGGUCACACACUUCUCCAGGAUUAGCUCCAGACUAGAAAAUUAUUGCCAGGCCAAUAAAACAUCCUAUCUUUGGGGGUCCAAUAUUUGGUUGAUUUUGUUUGUUCACCUUUCAAUCACCAGAAUCCCCUUCUUAUCAAUAAUUCCACCACCGCUCAAGAAUUCACAAAAUUAAAACAAAAAUGAUCUCUCUCAUUUACCAUAUUAGCACUACAUAUUUCACAAACAUGAUUUCAUCUUCACUAUCAGGGAGGUAUUACCAAACCCUUUAAUAGAGGAGGGAGCUGAGAAUCAGAGAUGAUCACCAACGUGCCCAAAUUCACACAGCAUAGAAAGUGUGGAGAGAGAGUCAAAUGCAGACCAGCUGUACUCCAGAAUCUACACCCCAGAAUCUACACUCCUAGCCAUCUUGCUCAAUUUUCUCCAAAAAAUGCUGUGAUCCUUUUAGGAGCUUGUGUAUUGAUUAAGAUAAAACAUUUCUCUGUAGUGCAAUAUUUAAGUACGAUGAAGCAAUCCAAAUGCAAAUAAUACAUGCUGUAGUUUUGAAUAAAGACACAAAAUAAGCUACCCCAUAUAACCAAAAUCUCUAAUGACUAGGAUUUGGCUUAUUACAGGACUGCCGAAGCUGAGAGUAACUACCCCUGGUUUCAUUUCCAACUCAUGAAUUUUUCGCCAUCCUUCUCUGCCCGCCUUUCCUUUACUACACAGUGAGCCGCACUCCUGGAACAAGCUUCCCUUGAAGUUCACCCUCUGAGCGCCACGGCCCCUCUCCAGCCUGCAUUCCACUGUAAGGUUGAGAAAUAUCUGAUUGUUAGUGAUGAGAGAGAAAACCUAGCCUCAUUCUCUGGUGGCCUGUCUUGCAAAAGAGAGAUGAAAUCAAACCUGGCUUCCUGAGAUUCCAAAUCACAAACAUCACAUACUAGUUUUUUUUUUUAAUAAAAUCAUGGGGCCAGAUGUGGUAGCUCACACCUGUAAUACCAGCACUUUGGGAGGCUGAGGCAGAACAAUCACUUGAGGCCAGGAGUUCAAGACCAGCCUGGAAAACAAAGGGAAACGCACUUCUACAAAAAAUUUAAAAAUUAGUCACAUGUGGUAGCAUGAACUUGUAGUUCCAGCUACUUGGGAGGCUGGGGCAGGAGGAUCGCUUGAGCCCAGGAGCUGGAGGCUACAAUGAGCCAGGAUUGCACUACUGCACUCCAGCCUGGGUGACAGAGGGAGACCUUGUCUAAAUAAAUAUCAUAGAAAGGUGGGGAACUCACUCAGAGUGUCCCACAUUGUCUUUUUCUUUCUUUUUUUCAAAAUUAAGAGACAGGGACAGCAAGGCGCGGUGACUCACUCCUGUGAUCCCAACACUUUGGGAGGCCGAGGUGGGUGGAUCACCUGAGCUCAGGAGUUCAAGAACAGCCUGGCCAACAUGGUGAGACCCUGUCUCUACUAAAAACACAAAAAUUAGCCAGGCAUGGUGGCACACACCUGUAAUCCCAGCUACUCAGGAGGCUGAGGCAGGAGAAUCGCUCGAACCCCGGAGGCAGAGAUUGCAGUGAGCCAAGAUUGUGCCACUGCGUUCCACCCUGGGAAACAAAGCAAGAUUCCAUCUCCAAAAAAAGAAAAAGAGAGAGAGAGAGAGAGCUAGGGUCUUACUAUAUUGCCCAGGGUGGAAUGCAGUGUCUACUCAGAGGCCCAGUCCCACUACUGAUUCUGCUCAUAUCUGACCUAAGCCAGUUCGCCCCUCCUUAAACAACGUGGUGGACCCCACUCCAGGAGGUCACCAUAUUGAUGCCAAACUUAGUUCAGACACCCAAUUGCUACAGCACACUACAGCUCAGAACUCCUGGGCUCAAGCAAUUGUUUUGCCUCAGCCUCUCAAGUAGCUGAGACCACAGGUGUGCACUAUUGAGCCUCACUUCCCUUAGCAUAUCUUUUUGAACAGCCUUUUCUUUAUAUUGAGAUACCUGAAAAGGGCUCUUUACAAAAUCCACUCGAAUUCCCUUCUCUCCUCUCUGCUGUCCUUUAUUAUUGAUGACAUUUUUGAUAAUUAUCUGAUUAUAGAAAAACUCCAAAAAGCCAGGAAGAAGUGCUGAUUUUUGUUUUGUUUUGAGAUGGAAUCUCACUCUGUCACUCAGGCUGGAGUGCGGUGGUGCAAUCUUGGCUCACUGCAACCUUCGCCUCCCAGGUUCAAGUGAUUCUCCCUGCCUCAGCCUCCCAAGUAGCUGGGAAUACAGGUGUCUGGCACCACACCCAGCUAAUUUUUGUAUUUUUAGUAUAGCUGGGUUUUCACCAUGUUGGCCAGACUGGUCUCGAACUCCUGACCUCAGGUGAUCCACCCGCCUUGGCCUCCCAAAGUGCUGGGAUUACAGGUGUGAGCCACUGCGCCCAUCCAAAGUGCUGUAUUAUUUCACUCAUCACUGCUAUUGGUUUCAGCAUAUGCAUACACAGGUGCCUGUAUUUUUGGCCUGACAUCUAUGCUCCAUUCUCUUUGGAUUUCAGGGAUACAUGACAAUUGUUCUAGUUCUUUUGCUGUAACUGAUGAAUACAAAAUAACCCCGUAGUAGAAUGUACCACCUGGAACAUCAAGAAAGUGAUUUUACAGGAUUUAGCAUUCCAUUUGGGGGCUGCAGAACCUGUCAUCAGAUAAUGGGAUUUGAAUGAUAAAUGAACUGUCUCAUGUCAAUCCCUUUGUGAAAAUUAGAGCUUUUAAAGUCUAGGUUUAGCUUGCUUAAACUGAGAAAUGGCCAGGCAAAUAGUCAUGUCAGUAGAAAUAUAACAUCUAAAAGUCAAGAUCUUUUUCCCUUCCUUUAGUUGUCAUUAUUUGUGAAAUUUCACACCAGAAGACAAUUGUGAUUUUUUUUGAACCAGAAAGAUUGUGAAAAUUAGCUCGUAUUAGACCUGUGAUGAAUCUUCAACUCUAGAAAAGAAAAAGAAAUGUGCUCUAAGAAGAAAUAAGAGGCCGGGUGCAGUGCCUCAAGCCUGUAUUCCCAACACUUUGGGAGGCCAAGGCAGGCGGAUCACUUGAGGUCAGGAGUUCGAGACCAGCCUGGCCAACAUGGCAAAACCCCGUCUCUACCAAAAAUACAAAUAUUAGCUGGGUGUGGUGAUGCAUAACUGUAAUCCCAACUACUCAGGAAGCUGAGGCAGGAGAAUCGCUUGAACCUGGGAGGCAGAGGUUUCAGUGAGCCGAGAUCGUGCCACUGCACUCCAGCCUGGGAGACAGAGCAAGACUCUGCCUUAAAAAUAAAUAAAUUAAAAGAAGAGAUUUAUAGGUAAACAAAAACAUGCAUUUUCUCUCUGUACUAUGUGCAUUCUUCCCCAAUCUUCCCUAAAGAAAAUAUCCCCUAGGAAGAAAGGUCUGAAACCUUGGAAAUUAUUUUUACUAGUCUUAGAAAUAUGUAUAACAAAUAUGCAAAAACAUGAACAAGCAAAGUAAUCCAAGCUAUUGAAAACCUAAUAAGAUCAGCUUACUCAUAUGCCUCCAAGACAGAAUGCUAUCAGCCCUCUGCAAUUUUAAGACCAAGACUCUGACUUCUGCCAGGUGCAAAACCCAUGGAGAGAAAUACUCUAUAGAUGAAGAAAGACUUGAGUUAGACCCUGAAGAGUAAGCAGAAUUUUCAUAUCUGUGAAUAGAACCCACGGCCUCUGAGACAGAGCAACCCCUGAUAAAGGAGACCAAAACAGAAGCACCCUGGGCAGGAUGUCUCAGGGAUGCUCAAAUUGUUGGGAAAGUUGGGGCAUGUGAAGGGGAAAAACAGGCAGGAAGAUAGAAAAGAUCGUCUCCCUUGGCUGAGAAGUUUGGACUCUAGUAUGUAGGCAAUAGAAACUCAUCAAAGGUUUCUAUGCAGAGCAGUGACAGGAUAAAGCAGGACUUUAUGAAAACUGAUCUUUCAGGAAAAGCUGGGAGGGACUGAAAUAGGAUGGAAACUGCAGGUAGAAAGACCACUCUCAAAGCUAUUAGAACAAUGCAGGCAAAAGACUGAACCAUGACCUUGGGCUCAGCUAUGUAAGUCAAGACUAGGUAUUGGACCACUGUUAUUUUCUAAUGUCAAAUCAAUGACUUUAGAUUGGAGGGAAUUUAGGAAUUGUUUUGCCAAAAAUUCACAAACCUGUGGCAAAAUCAGACUGGUGGUAAAGUGCACGUGUGUGUGUGUGUGUGUGUGUGUGUGUGUGUGUGUAUAAACAUGUAUACAAAUAUAUAUAUAAUUUUUUUAGUUUUCUGAAUUAGUUACCCAAGUUUUAAAAUUGGGAGAUUUCAGAUGAAAACCCCAGAUUUCUGGAUUUUUGAAAUUUGGCAUUGUCAUAUUGGGCUCAAAGCCUUCACCUGACCCUCACCCUGCAUAAUCCUCUUAAGCUUCAUUUAGUCCCAUUCCUGUCCUGCCAUUCAUACCCCAAUCUUAAAGAUGAAGACACUGAAACCCGAGGAAGGUAAGGAAUUUUCCCAAAGUUUCACUGACAGUUGUUGGCAAAGUCUGCAAGGAUGAUGUGACAUAAUGCCUGUCCCAUUCCUUACAGCAACUGGACAUAUAUGAUCUCUGUUCCUCAUAAGCCCUUAAGAGUAGACAUCAUUAUCCCCAUUUUGUAGAAGAGGAAACGGGUUGAAAGAUUAGGUAACUUCCCCAAAGCCACAUAGCUGGUCAGCGGUGGAGACAAUGUUCAAACCUAGAUCUUUCCAGGUCUUUCUUAUUACACAAUUAGUGUAAGAUUCUGAAACCGGACAAACCUGCUUAAAAUCGAGGCUGGUCAUUGACUGGCUGUGUGAUGGCAGGGAUGUUACUCAGCCUGUCUGAGCUUCACAUUUUUGGUUUUCAGACUGAAAUGAGCAUGUGUCUAACAGCAAUUAACACAUGUUAAUUAUUUUACAGUCACAGUUUGCUUUUUGAGAAAAAGCACUGUUAAUGGAUAUGAUCAGAUACUUUAUUUGUGUUGUUGGCUCUGAAAAUCUUUUUAAUCCCCAAAAAAUAAAAUCUAACCCCAAAGACAGUGUCAACCACUGAUACUAUUCUAAAGAUUGUGCCAUAAGAUCUAAACCUUUUUCCUAAAGAUUCCAAAAAAAUCAGAGGUAACAGUAGCAGUGUUGGCAGUAGAACUCUCACAUAAGAGACAGGGAUGGAGGCAUAUGCGCCCCAUGUCUCACUCCUCCUUCUACUUUCCUUGCCAGUGUUCCUGUUUGGCAAAACCAGCAACAUCUGGGCCCACACUACAAAAGGACCCAGAAAAUAUAGUUUAUAGCUUCCUAGCCCCUUUGAUACAGAAAAGCAUGCAAGAAAGGUGGACCAGUCAUCUGCAUCUGUCACAAAAUUGCCCUAAGAACCAGCUUGUCAGCCAUAGAAGAAAACUGUAUCUCAUUAUUUUAUGUUCACAUUUUGCUUUUUGAGAGAAAGCACUGUGAGUAGAUUUGAUCAGAUACUUUAUUUGUGUUGUUGGUUCUGAAAAUCUUUUUAAUCCCCAAAAAAUAAAAUCCAACCCCAAAGAUAGUGUCAACCACUGAUGGUAUUCUAAAGAUUGUGCCAUAAGAUCUGAACCUUCUUCCAAAAGAUUCCAAAAAAAUUGGGCUUAACAGUAGCAAUAUUGGAAGUAGCAUUUAGCAUCCUACUUUGAAAGGGACAGCGCUCAUUAGGAUAGAGACAUUCUAAAAUGUUUGCUUUUUAAUCAGCCCUAUUAGUCACAGACAUACCUCACUGGAGUUACCCUCCAGCUUCCUCCAAGGAAGAUAGCCAAACACCUGAUGGUGAGCAAAGCCAUUACCAUCUUGACUUCCUGCCAGAAUUCUUACCACCAUCAACCUUUCAAAACAGGUUGAUUAGUGGAUCUGGCAAACAAAAGCACUGUAAUUAUUCAAUACUUACACAGAAAUCCUCCCAUAAAACAAGUAUGCUUCAAAAAAUCAUAUUGUCUUAACAAUGACCAUGUUCCCCUUUGGUUGAAUUGGCCUCUUUUGUAAGAUUCUAAUUACCCAAAAUUAAGGGUUUUUGGGGGUUUUUGUUUGUUUUUGUUCUUUUGUUUUGUUUUACCAUGCUAGGACUGGGUAACUUUAUUCAAGACCUUGACAAAAUGAUCCCCAAAGUAAUAUAAAUGUAGACACUUUAAAAAGUCCAGAUGUGGAAGUGAGGAGCGCCUCUGCCCGGCCACCCAUCAUCUGGGAGGUGAGGAGCGCCUCUGCCCGGCUGCCCUGUCUGGGAAGUGAGGAGUGCCUCUGCCCGGCCACCCCAUCUGGGAAGUGAGGAGCACCUCUGCCCGGCCGCCCCCAUCUGGGAAGUGAGGAGCGCUUCUGCCCGGCCUCCCCGUCUGGGAAGUGAGGAGCGUCUCUGCCCAGCCGCCCAUCGUCUGGGAUGUGAGGAGCGCCUCUACCCGGCCGCCCCGUCUGGGAAGUGAGGAGCGUCUCUGCCCGGCCGCCCAUCGUCUGGGAGGUGAGGAGUGCCUCUGCCCGGCCACCCCGUCUGGGAAGUGAGGAGCACCUCUGCCUGGCCGCUGUGCAAUCUUCCAAGUGUGAAGUGACAGGCUUUCUGCAGGUGUACCCAACAGCUCCAAAGAGACAGCGACCAUUGAGAAGGGGCCAUGAUGACGAUGGUGGUUCUGUCAAAAAGAAAAGGGGGAAAUGUGGGGAAAAGAAAGAGAGAUCAGAUUGUUACUGUGUCUGUGUAGAAAGAAGUAGACAUAAGAGACUCCAUUUUGUUCUGUACUAAGAAAAAUUCUUCUGCCUUAGGAUGCUGUUAAUCUAUAACCUUACCCCCAACCCCGUGCUCUCUGAAACAUGUGCUGUGUCAACUCAGGGUUAAAUGGAUUAAGGGCAGUGCAAGAUGUGCUUUGUUAAACAGAUGCUUGAAGGCAGCAUGCUCGUUAAGAGUCAUCACCACUCCCUAAUCUCAAGUACCCAGGGACACAAACACUGCGGAAGGCCGCAGGGACCUCUGCCUAGGAAAACCAGAGACCUUUGUUCACAUGUUUAUCUGCUGACCUUCUCUCCACUAUUAUCCUAUGACCCUGCCACAUCCCCCUCUCCGAGAAACACCCAAGAAUGAUCAAUAAAUACUAAAAAAAAAAAAAAA